rnacentral:sRNA from 1 species
UCAGAUAACUAGUGAGCUGUUAGACUAUGCUCUGAAAAUAUAUUUUAUGUUCAAUAACUACUCUUGUAUUUCGUGAUAGCAAAAUUCCAUGUUAUUAUUAGAUAAACUACCUGUACCCUGAUGGAUUGCUGUAAAACUCAAACGGAAAUUAACCGCCGGAUCCGAUGCCUUGCAAGCAAACUAAUUGAGAGCCGACAGCAGCGUUUACAAUUGUUGUUCGACGGUUUCCUUUGCUGUCUGGAGCUGGAGCACGAUUGGCCGCGCCUGAUGCACUUUGAGUUCGUAUGCAACUAGCUAAACUCACGAGCAUGGCGACAAUUAAAAGCCAGUAAAAAGCUGCUCAGCUGUGUUGCUUGGUAACUUAAUCACAUCAAAGGUCGAUCCCACUCCCUACUCCCAACCUCAACUGGCUGUGGUUAAUCCGAAAUACAUGUUAGGCAGAACUGGCUUGGA